rnacentral:lncRNA from 1 species
GAAAACCAAGAACUUCUGAGAGGUGUCUUUAAGGGACCAGCUCUUUCUUGCCAAGAUAGAGGGAGCUGGUUUGUCUCCGUGUCCUGGGCAGGGCAGGUCACUCCGCUACCUGCUCUUCUCUGCAGAUAUAUUUCCAGAGGACUCUGGUCGGGUCAGCUCCUUCGGUGCCAGCCUCCCGUCCCAGCCCCCCUGGCUCACGCAGCAGGCUCCCCGACACUUCCACACUUGCUCAGUUUCACUCCUAUCCCCAGAGGCUUCUCAGGAUAUUCCUGCUGCUUCCAGCGUGUCUGUCCUUCACCCCUGUCCAAAGCAAGCCCAGCCUUCUCCAAACUCUCCAGCCUCCCUGGCCCACCAGGCUGUCUCAACUCAGUGACCCCCCUGCUGUGGGUGCUGGCUCCAGCCCCCAGUCAGGCUGCCUUGCCGGCCUUGAUUGGGUUCUUGUCCAUCUACAGCCCAGAAGAGGUGCUGGGCAAGCAUCCUUUGAGUUCUGUUUAAGUUAGAGGAAAUGGUCUGAGGCCUUGUCCACACGAGUCAGCUGUAGGUGAAGUCAACACUAGAGCCUUACGUUCCUGCAGGUGAGCCCGUCUGCUCCUUUGACACUGCAGGGACAUCCAUCCUGACCCAGGGUUCAGUUACCUUUGCGUGUGGCUCAGGACGCAGUGUCACUGACCUCCAUGCGUAACUGAAACCCAGCCUUGAGACGGCCUCUUCUGUGAAGCAGAUACCAUCUCUGGUCCCUCUUCUUGUGCCUCCUCUGAAGUGUGGAGGGGAGAAGGGCUCUGGCUUCAGAGUUGCCCAGCAGGCUGCAGACAUUCUGCUGGUAAAAGACUUCGGGCAAUGCCAGACACAAAGUAGGUGUGCAACCCACUUUGUCAUCAUUAUUAGCAUCAUUAUUAUUCCUUUUGACCCCAGUCCCUUCAUAGGGUGAACUGCCUGCCUUACCCCUCUAUUCACUGAGGAUGCCUAAGCAGCAUCUAAGGGGAGAGAAAGCACACGCCGUGAGGAAUCCGGAACAGUCAUUCCCUGGGACCUCUGAGGCGGAAAUUUCAAGGGUGUGUCGGAUCUCUAAGACUGCCAGCUCUGGGAGCACAGAAGGCCCCGGGUCUCUGAGGACACUCAGAACACAGUGCCCUCUGUUCAGAAGGCUCAAGAGCACGGCCCUUUUGUGCUUGGACUUCCCGGAGACCAUCUGGGUUGUGAAUGGUCUCCUUGCUUCAGACGCUACCAUGAAAGGUGGUCCUAUCUUCUGGGCUUCCUGUCGUGAGGCAGCAAGGCUUGGUAGCUGGAAGCUGUAUUUUGGCACCAGCUGCCUGCUCUGGGUACAGCUAGAGAAUAAGGAUGUUGCUCUUUGGAGGACAAUUACCAUUUGUCCAAAUACAUCCAACCACGUGACUGAGCAGAAAAAUACGAGGUUGUGUUCAAAACAGGGAGGGUUGUCUUGCUGUGAGCCUGGGCACGCAGCCUGGACAGAGCAGACCCCAUGAGCGUCUCAUCCUGAGUCAUUGACAUUGGGUUCUUUACCAGGGAUUGUACUUGAAGAGAGAGAUGUGUCUAUAAAGGGACAAAGGUCCUUGACCCAGGGACACAAUUGCUACCAUUGUCUUUCCUCCAAAUCCUGGAGCACAUUUGUGAGGCAGCUCAGACAGUCAGCACUGCCCCUCUCAAGGUCAAGGUGUGGACAGCCAGGGAAGCCGGGAGCCCAUGGAGGAGAACUCAGAAGACUGCCUACACAGAAUUCUUCUUUUCUUCGUUUAACAAAAUCAUUUUUUUUUUUUUGGCUUGUGGUUAGUUCUUGUUUUCUCCAUGUGGGAUUCAGGAAAAGAUGAAAAGAAUAUGUUUAAAACCCUCAUUUUCUCAGCCACACCAGUGCUAAUUGUUGGUUACAAAGGGCCCAAAAUAGCAUGGCUGUCCAGCACCUGCCCAGCUCUGAGCCAGGUUCCCAGCCAGAAAGGGGAAAGUGAGAAGAGACCCAGGGACUGGCUGAGCUCCCUCAGGCCUUGUGGCCUUCAGGGCCAGGCUCUGCCACCUGUCCCCAGGGCUUCUCUGAUCACUGCAGGGCUGUGGGGACAGCACAGUGGAGCCCUGCUUUUCUGGUGCUGCUGUGGCCAUGGGGGCCUGCUACGGGUAGGGGACAGGGACAGGGAGGAGCUGACGCCCAGGGCUGUGACUUCGGCCCUCCCAUGAUGAGCUCCCAAGGCAUCUGGUUUGGACACCAGGUCCAGGCACCUGGGCACAGGAAACCUGGGUCUUUGGAGACCUGGGGAGGAUGCAGCCUGGGAAGACAGGACUGAUGGACAGCGUGAGACUCACCAGCUUGGUGGGAAGGCCGAGAUGGUUGAUAAGUGGCACAGGGAAGACACCAUCUGCGGCUGAGCCGAUGCGUUGAAACACAAGUGGUGGUGGCAGGAGCUGGAGAGGUGGUGGACAGGACUGAUGCUUCUCUCUGCUUGGGGUUUCCUUUCCGUCCCUGGAGACUUAACUCCCUCCACACGUUAGAGUCCGCGGUUCCCAACUUCCCUGCUCAACCACUUUGCCAGAUCUCAGGGAAGAUGUGCCCAACCCAACCCUGGAGGGAGCGGUCAAGGAGGUGGGCAGAACGAGGCGUGGGAAGGUCCCAGAAGGAAAGGGCUCAAGGGCGUGGGCAGCCAGGGCUUGUGUCCGCCCGAGACAAGGAGCCUCAUUCAGGGCAUUUGCAAUGAGAAGGUUCGGCAAGGGAGGCUGGGCAAGCGCUCAGGUGUGGAGACCUGUGUGGUGGCAAUCCUCCUCUUUGUGGCCUUCAGGAGGCUGUCUGUCCCCUGCACACUUGGACUCCUGUUCUGAAGCAGCUCCAGGCUUCCGAGCUGGCCUCAGCCCAAGGUUAGUGGGAAUGGCCUAGGAAAGAGCGGGAAGAACCCUGUGCUCUGAGGCCAACCAGCGUCCAGGGGCUACUCCAAACUGAACAGAGGCUAGAAGUUUGUCUCAAGGGGGAGCAGCAUCAACACGGUCAGAGGAUGCACUGCCCAGCGGCCAGAGCAGGGCACAAAGGAUGCAGUCGGGGCUGUGGGGCAGCAGGAUUCCCCUCCACGCUCACGGCCCACGGCUGCCCUCCACACGGGGCUUUACUUGACAGGAAAUAAACAGUCGGCUUGCAAAUAGAGGGCCCGACAAUGGAGCCACUGGCUGCAGGGCAGGCUGGGCCAGCUCUGGACAUCGGCCACGCUGGGGACCCCCGGGAGCUCGGGCCACUCCUCCCAUGGACACUGUGGUCUGCCUUUCUCCUCCUCCUUCCUGCACUGGCAGGAGUGAGCACCCGCUUGGGGCCCGGCUCCUGAGUGUGAGUCCCCUGAGCCCAGUCCUGCACAUGACCAGGCUGCUUCUACCUCUGUUUGCCCUGCUAGGUGCCCAG